rnacentral:rRNA from 1 species
CAGCCGCCACGGUAAUACGUAGGGUGCAAGCGUUAAUCGGAAUUACUGGGCGUAAAGCGUGCGUAGGUGGUGGUUUAAGUCCGUUGUGAAAGCCCUGGGCUCAACCUGGGAAUUGCAGUGGAUACUGGGUCACUAGAGUGUGGUAGAGGAUAGUGGAAUUUCCGGUGUAGCAGUGAAAUGCGUAGAGAUCGGAAGGAACAUCUGUGGCGAAGGCGACUAUCUGGGCCAACACUGACACUGAGGCACGAAAGCGUGGGGAGCAAACAGGAUUAGAUACCCCUGUAGUCCCUGUCUCUUAUAC